rnacentral:misc_RNA from 1 species
GAAAGAUGAACGAGGGACAAGUAUGUUACAUCAUUAUCUUGCAAUUUCAUGAAUAGUUGGGGUAUAUUUUCUUGUUUCAGUGAUGAUGAAUGAAGUUGUAAAAUGUUCAUGAAAUUGAGAAAACCGUAUGCUUUCUCUGCAACAAAGAACUACAUGCACAUGAAAUGGGAGGGUUCUUGUGUUGUUUUAUUACCGAGUGUUUUUGGUUUUUAUGUUAUGGACACGGCAGAAUUAUUUAUAGGCAUGCCGCAUGCCAAGUCAUAAUAUAUAGGAGGUCCAAAAUAACAUGGAUGACUUUCAUAAUGUGGAAUGAGAAUUGAAAUUAGACGUUGACUGCUCUAAUUCAGAUUUAAAUUAGAUUUUAUAAGAUCAUGGAACUGCAAAUGGGACUGAGCUACUGAUUUUAUUCAAAAAGAGGAAAGGAUGAGCAUGUAACCUCCUUGAAUAAGCACUGAUACUAAUAAACAAACUAUUUUUAUGCUCAGGUAUCGAAGUAUACAAGGGAGCU